AUAGUAAACAUGUACAUGCCGAACUUAUCAGAACUAUAUACGAUCCAUUUUCAUCCAUCAACUAUAUAUUUAACAUACCGACCGUCCCUAGUGCAAAUGCCAAAGGGCUUGAUGGUUUGUACUUGAAAAAUUAAAUGGUUAGUUUGAUCAAGCGCAACAUAGUUUCUGGAUAAGUUUCGUAUGUUUUCAAUUUCCAGCUGAGAAUUACUAAUUUGUUUUUGUGUUGAAUAAUAUAAUUACUAUAUGUUGUAAUGUCAAUACUAAAAGGUAAGUAAAUUGAGUUGGGGAAUUGACUAAUAUG
rnacentral:lncRNA from 1 species